rnacentral:rRNA from 1 species
UACGAAGGGGGCUAGCGUUGUUCGGAUUUACUGGGCGUAAAGCGCACGAGGCGGAUCGUUAAGUGAGGGGUGAAAUCCCAAGGGCUCAACCCUGGAACUGCCUUUCAUACUGGCGAUCUUGAGUCCGGAAGAGGUGAGUGGAACUCCUAGUGUAGAGGUGGAAUUCGUAGAUAUUAGGAAGAACACCAGUGGCGAAGGCGG